UGGGGAAUAUUGGACAAUGGGCGAAAGCCUGAUCCAGCCAUGCCGCGUGAGUGAUGAAGGGCCCUAGGGUUGUAAAGCUCUUUCAACGGUGAAGAUAAUGACGGUAACCGUAGAAGAAGCCCCGGCUAACUUCGUGCCAGCAGCCGCGGUAAUACGAAGGGGGCUAGCGUUGUUCGGAAUUACUGGGCGUAAAGCGCACGUAGGCGGAUAUUUAAGUCAGGGGUGAAAUCCCGGGGCUCAACCCCGGAACUGCCUUUGAUACUGGGUAUCUUGAGUUCGAGAGAGGUGAGUGGAAUUCCGAGUGUAGAGGUGAAAUUCGUAGAUAUUCGGAGGAACACCAGUGGCGAAGGCGGCUCACUGGCUCGAUGCUGACGCUGAGGUGCGAAAGCGUGGGGAGCAAAC
rnacentral:rRNA from 1 species